CAGCAGUGGGAAGUAUUGCACAAUGGGCGCCAAGCCUGAUGCAGCCAUGCCGCGUGUAUGGAAGAAGGCCUUCGGGUUGUAAAGUACUUUCAGCAGUGAGGAAGGUGGGUAUGUUAAUAGCAUACUCAUUUGACGUUAGCUGCAGAAGAAGCACCGGCUAACUCCGUGCCAGCAGCCGCGGUAAUACGGAGGGUGCGAGCGUUAAUCGGGAAUUACUGGGCGUAAAGCGCAUGCAGGUGGUUUGUUAAGUCAGAUGUGAAAGCCCCGGGGCUCAACCUCGGAAUUGCAUUUGAAACUGGCAAACUAGAGUACUGUAGAGGGGGUAGAAUUUCAGGUGUAGCGGUGAAAUGCGUAGAGAUCUGAAGGAAUACCGGUGGCGAAGGCGGCCCCCUGGACAGAUACUGACACUCAGAUGCGAAAGCGUGGGGAGCAAACAGGAUUAGAUACCCUCGGUAG
rnacentral:rRNA from 1 species